CACUAAGCGGAGGAAAAGAAACUAACCAGGAUUCCCUCAGUAACGGCGAGUGAACCGGGAAGAGCCCAGCACCGAAUCCCCUGCAUCGACUGUAGAGGGAACUGUGGUGUUUAGGAGAGCCUGUGCAGCAGUCGGAGGCGUCCGAGUCCUUAUGAAAGGGGCUUUUGCCCGAGCGGGUGUCAGUCCUCUAGGACGUCGCCGUUGCUGUUGCUCAGUACCUCCUCGGAGUCGGGUUGUUUGAGAUUGCAGCCCAAAGUGGGUGGUAAACUCCAUCUAAGGCUAAAUACUGGCACGAGACCGAUAGCAAACAAGUACCGUGAGGGAAAGUU
rnacentral:rRNA from 1 species